GGAUUAUUGGGUUUAAGGGUGCGCAGGCGGGGGAUUAGGUCGGCGGUGAAAUAUCAGGGCUCAACCUUGGGAGUGCCGUCGAAACCGGUUUUCUUGAGUGCGGAUGAAGUAGGCGGAAUUUGUGGUGUAGCGGUGAAAUGCGUAGAUAUCACAAAGAACACCGAUUGCGGAGGCAGCUUACUAAACCGCAACUGACGCUCAUGCACGAAGGCGUGGGGAUCAAACAGGAUUAGAUACCCUGGUAGUCCACGCAGUAAACGAUGAUUACUAGCUGUUUGCGAUACAAUGUAAGCGGCUGAGCGAAAGCGUUAAGUAAUCCACCUGGGGAGUACGUUCGCAAGAAUGAAACUCAAAGGAAUUGACGGGGGCCCGCACAAGCGGAGGAACAUGUGGUUUAAUUCGAUGAUACGCGAGGAACCUUACCCGGGCUUGAAAUGCAUCUGACCGGGCCGGAAACGGUCUUUCCCAGCGAUGGGCAGAUGUGUAGGUGCUGCAUGGUUGUCGUCAGCUCGUGCCGUGAGGUGUCGGCUUAAGUGCCAUAACGAGCGCAACCCUCAUCGUCAGUUACCAUCGGGUAAAGCCGGGGACUCUGACGAGACUGCCAUCGUAAGAUGCGAGGAAGGUGGGGAUGACGUCAAAUCAGCACGGCCCUUAUGUCCGGGGCGACACACGUGUUACAAUGGGCGGUACAGCGGGGAGCUACCUGGCGACAGGGAGCCGAUCCCGAAAGCCGCUCACAGUUCGGAUCGGAGUCUGCAACUCGACUC
rnacentral:rRNA from 1 species